CACCAGCCCCUCGAGUGGUGGGGAUGAUUAUUUGGCCUAAGCGUCCGUAGCCGGCCGGGUAAGUUUCCCGUUAAAUCCAGCGUCUCAAGCGUUGGACUGCGGGAAAUACUGCCUGGCUAGAGAGUGGGAGAGGUCAGCGGUAUUCUGGGGGUAGGGGCGAAAUCCUUUGAUCCCCGGAGGACCACCAGUGGCGAAGGCUGCUGACUAGAACACGUCUGACGGUCAGGGACGAAAGCUGGGGUAGCGAACCGGAUUAGAUACCCGGGUAGUCCCAGCCGUAAACGAUGCAUGCUAGGUGUUGGGUUGGCCACGAGCCACCCCAGUGCCGCAGGGAAGCCGUUAAGCAUGCCGCCUGGGAAGUACGAUCGCAAGAUUGAAACUUAAAGGAAUUGGCGGGGGAGCACCACCAGGCGUGAAGCCUGCGGUUU
rnacentral:rRNA from 1 species